rnacentral:rRNA from 1 species
GAUGAACGCUGGCGGCGUGCCUAAUACAUGCAAGUCGAGCGAACAGACGAGGAGCUUGCUCCUCUGACGUUAGCGGCGGACGGGUGAGUAACACGUGGAUAACCUACCUAUAAGACUGGGAUAACUUCGGGAAACCGGAGCUAAUACCGGAUAAUAUAUUGAACCGCAUGGUUCAAUAGUGAAAGACGGUUUUGCUGUCACUUAUAGAUGGAUCCGCGCCGCAUUAGCUAGUUGGUAAGGUAACGGCUUACCAAGGCAACGAUGCGUAGCCGACCUGAGAGGGUGGUCGGCCACCCUGGAACUGAGACACGGACCAGACUCCUACGGGAGGCAGCAGUAGGGGAUCUUCCGCAAUGGGCGAAAGCUUGACGGAGCAACGCCGCGUGAGUGAUGAAGGUCUUCGGAUCGUAAAACUCUGUUAUUAGGGAAGAACAAAUGUGUAAGUAACUAUGCACGUCUUGACGGUACCUAAUCAGAAAGCCACGGCUAACUACGUG